CGAAAGCCUGACGGAGCAAUACCGCGUGAGGGAGGAAGGCUCUAGGGUUGUAAACCUCUUUUAUCAGGGAAGAAGCUCUGACGGUACCUGAGGAAUCAGCAUCGGCUAACUCCGUGCCAGCAGCCGCGGUAAUACGGAGGAUGCAAGCGUUAUCCGGAAUCAUUGGGCGUGAAGCGUCCGCAGGUGGGAGUUCAAGUCGAUUGUCAAAGGCAGUAGCUUAACUACUGAAAGGCAGUGGAAACUGAACAACUAGAGUGCGGUAGGGGUAGAGGGAAUUCCCGGUGUAGCGGUGAAAUGCGUAGAGAUCGGGAAGAACACCAGUGGCGAAAGCGCUCUGCUGGACCGGCACUGACACUGAGGGACGAAAGCUAGNGGGAGCG
rnacentral:rRNA from 1 species